rnacentral:rRNA from 1 species
GACGAACGCUGGCGGCGUGCUUAACACAUGCAGGUCGAACGGUGAAGGUGGAGCUUGCUCUGCUGGAUCAGUGGCGAACGGGUGAGUAACACGUGAGCAAUCUGCCCCGAACUCUGGGAUAACCACGGGAAACCGUGGCUAAUACUGGGUAUGUCGAGUGACCGCAUGGUCUGCUCGUGGAAAGAUUUUUCGGUUCGGGAUGAGCUCGCGGCCUAUCAGCUUGUUGGUGUGGUAAUGGCUCACCAAGGCGACGACGGGUAGCCGGCCUGAGAGGGUGACCGGCCACACUGGGACUGAGACACGGCCCAGACUCCUACGGGAGGCAGCAGUGGGGAAUAUUGCACAAUGGGCGCAAGCCUGAUGCAGCAACGCCGCGUGAGGGAUGACGGCCUUCGGGUUGUAAACCUCUUUUAGCAGGGAAGAAGCGAAAGUGACGGUACCUGCAGAAAAAGCACCGGCUAACUACGUGCCAGCAGCCGCAGUAA